rnacentral:rRNA from 1 species
AACGAACGCUGGCGGCAUGCCUAACACAUGCAAGUCGAACGAGACCUUCGGGUCUAGUGGCGCACGGGUGCGUAACGCGUGGGAACCUGCCUUUAGGUUCGGAAUAACUCAGAGAAAUUUGAGCUAAUACCGGAUAAUGUCUUCGGACCAAAGAUUUAUCGCCUUUAGAUGGGCCCGCGUUGGAUUAGCUAGUUGGUGGGUAAAGCCUACCAAGGCGACGAUCCAUAGCUGGUCUGAGAGGAUGAUCAGCCACACUGGGACUGAGACACGGCCCA